rnacentral:lncRNA from 1 species
GAUUUGUUCUGGCUUACAGGGGCUCUCGUGGCUUUAACUAACCCAGUCGGACCGAGGCUGCUGCUGUAACCGGGCAAGGUUAGCAUUGCAUGCAGCUCUUACGACCGGUGUUCCCAGCUCGCAAGCUUGCACCCUGAAUUUGUCAAAAGCCCAGAAACCAAGCUACCUCGUUUUUCAAAAUAUAACCAUCGAGGCAUAUAUUCUUAUCUUCUGUAGCGUACUGUUUCUGUCUCGAUUUAGGACUUGCUUUUUUUUUUUUUUUUUUUUUUUUUUUCCCCUCCUCUCUCGCUAGGUCUCAGAGCUAGCCAAUGUGAACUGGAGUGCCUGAAAUAUUUCUGGUGGGAUUUUUCUUUCAUUACAAUCGUCGGAUUAUAUAGCACUGGCAACAUCACUUUAGGCUGUUUCGCAAGAAAUAUUUCAGGCUGUGGACAUCGUUUUCUACUGCACUGCAAUUUUGCAAAUAUCCCCACUUCCUAAAACGAUAGAACAGUAGGGACUGCAUUUCCAAAACUGCAAUACARUGCAAUUGUGUCAUCUCGUAGAUCUGAGCUAAAUGGUUUGAUUCCACAAACUCCUCAUAUGCCAUCCAUAAAGGGGAUUCAGAGCAUGCAAACCUACACUCCCGGCCAUUUAGACGAGCCUUAGACUUUUGGCGAGUUCGAGUCCUUUUGUUAGUGCCAAAGUUAGGAGAUCGGACUAAAUUGGGCUUACGGUAGGAAAGGACUUGCUACCUUUACUGUGGGACCCGCGAGUCCAUUACAUGCUGAUUUACACAGAAAUAUCUGUGUUGUCACUGUACUCUGCUCUCCUAAAUCGUUAGAAAGAAACUGAAAGUAACUAAUCGGACGCAGCACUAAAAUCGCUCUUGCACCCAAAGAGGAGGUAAAGCGUGACUUCCUUAAACUCGCUGAGAAGUUUAGAGGAGGGAGGGAGAAGGUAGGAGAGGUUCAGGCAUCCUCAUCCCCCCAGAAAGGUCGCUGUCCGCUGCGCGUCGGUGCGAAGCAGCGGCCCCGGGCCGGCUCCCGCGGGCGGGCGCAGCCGCGGCGCCCCGGGACGGCAGCGCCCCGGGACAGCGGCGCCGGCGCCGCCUCGCCACCUCCGCGAGGGCGCUUUGCAGGCGACGGGCUCGGUGACCGCCGAGCACCCCCUCCGACCCUGCCUUUGGGAGGACCGGUCUCUUCAAGCCUUCCGGCAGCGCCGGCCCGAAGGUGCCGCCUCUGCCGCGAGUCGCUCCCGUGCGCGAUUCCGACAAAAUGCCCCCGCGGUAGCAAAUCUGCCGCGCGAGCCGGGCGGCUUUUCUGUUGCAAACCACAGCAGGACUGGAAGCCUUGCCAUCCCAUCCGCAGCUCCUCCUCCGGGAAGAGGAUGGACGGGACCUCCGUGACACUGCCGGUGGCAGGGCGUGCUCCCGAGGAGUUCACGGGAAGCAGGUGGCUGCGUUAA